rnacentral:rRNA from 1 species
GACGAACGCUGGCGGCGUGCUUAACACAUGCAAGUCGAACGGAGUGGCGAACGGGUGAGUAUUACGUGAGUAACCUGCCCUCAACUGUGGGAUAAGCCUGGGAAACUGGGUCUAAUACUUCAUAGUUGGGGAUGGGCUCUCGGCCUAUCAGCUUGUUGGUGGGGUGAUGGCCUACCAAGGCGGUCACGGGUAGGCGGCCGGAGAGGGUGGUCGGCAAGAAUGGGACUGCGAUACGGCCCAGGCGCCUACGGGAGGGAGCAGUGUGGGAUAUUGCACAAUGGGCGCAAGCCUAAGGCAGCGGCGCCGCGUGAGGGAUGAAGGCUUUCGGGUUGUAAAGCUCUUUCGGUACAGAACGGGUAUGUGCAGAAGAAGCGCCGGCUAACUACGUGCCAGCAGCCGCGGUAAUAC